rnacentral:lncRNA from 10 species
GAUUCUCAAUGAGCAAGAGAAGAUGAGGGAAGGUGCUAGAAGCCAGGCCCAGGAAGGUUCCUCAGGUUAAUUCUCACGUAGCAGGCUCUUAUGGGUGCCUGCCAGAGGGAAUGCAUGCAGGAAGCUGUUUCCUUCCACCCGCUAUUGCAGCUUAUGGUCAGCCCAACUGUUCAACAUAAUCUGUUCUGCACUAACAUGCUGCGGAUCCUCAGCAGGUUUUUCUCCUGUGCCGACAGCUUCCUUGGGUCUGGAUAGACAGACAACUCAUCACUGGCUGUUCCCGCAGACUGGCUCCGGGCCUGGCCCAAUUGCUUCUCAAGCUCUUGAACCUGAGGAUGGUGUGAAGAUGAAGACAUAGGAAGAUGAAGGGGUUUGCCCAAGGUCAGAGUUGGCAGACCGGUGGCCAAACGUAAACUCAGGUCUCUUGAACCCCAAGGCCAUGCACUAUCAUCUAUUAGCUUCUUGGAGUUUUUCCCCCUUUAUAUUGGCUUCAAGGAUCCCAUGGGAGACACUGAAGAUAAAAGCCACUGUGACCCUCGAAGUCCCUGGGAACA